GCGGCGGACGGGUGAGUAACACGUGGGUAACCUGCCCAUAAGACUGGGAUAACUCCGGGAAACCGGGGCUAAUACCGGAUAACAUUUUGAACCGCAUGGUUCGAAAUUGAAAGGCGGCUUCGGCUGUCACUUAUGGAUGGACCCGCGUCGCAUUAGCUAGUUGGUGAGGUAACGGCUCACCAAGGCAACGAUGCGUAGCCGACCUGAGAGGGUGAUCGGCCACACUGGGACUGAGACACGGCCCAGACUCCUACGGGAGGCAGCAGUAGGGAAUCUUCCGCAAUGGACGAAAGUCUGACGGAGCAACGCCGCGUGAGUGAUGAAGGCUUUCGGGUCGUAAAACUCUGUUGUUAGGGAAGAACAAGUGCUAGUUGAAUAAGCUGGCACCUUGACGGUACCUAACCAGAAAGCCACGGCUAACUACGUGCCAGCAGCCGCGGUAAUACGUAGGUGGCAAGCGUUAUCCGGAAUUAUUGGGCGUAAAGCGCGCGCAGGUGGUUUCUUAAGUCUGAUGUGAAAGCCCCACGGCCUCAACCGUGGAGGGUCAUUUGGAAACUGGGAGACUUGAGUGCAGAAGAGGAAAGUGG
rnacentral:rRNA from 1 species